rnacentral:lncRNA from 1 species
ACUGAUAGAUACUGAUUUCAAACAAAGCUGGAACAUCCAUUCUGUUUCAUAUCAUUAUAUGUAGUUUUAUCUUGAUAUUUAAUGAAUAAUUACUGUUUUUUUCCCCAAAAAAAAGGUACAUCAUAGGAUGUCUUUUCAAAAGAAAAGAAAAAAGAAGAGGGAAAACAAACCUUUUAGCUCUAGUAACAUUAUAAGGUGACUUUCUUAUAAAAUCACACUCAUACAGUGAGUUCUCCAUAUAAUUAACUCAAGUUUUCAGAGGAAUUCGACAGCCCAAAAUGUUC